CGCUGGUCGAACUCCACGUGGGUGAUCCUAAACCUCUAAAGUAGAUUAGUUGUCACGAUGAAUCGAAAUGCUAUUGUGCUGCUUCUGGCACUAGCAAUCGUCCAUUCGACAUACGGAACGUUUGGAAAAGAACAUGUCCACAUUAAAAUACAUCUCAAACCACCAGAACCAAAGAAAGUGAUAAAAGAGAUUAUAAAGAUCCAUG